UACGAAGGGGGCUAGCGUUGUUCGGAAUCACUGGGCGUAAAGCGCACGUAGGCGGAUGUGCCAGUCAGGGGUGAAAGCCCAGAGCUCAACUCUGGAACUGCCCUUGAAACUGGUGACCUUGAGUACGGGAGAGGUGAGUGGAAUUCCCAGUGUAGAGGUGAAAUUCGUAGAUAUUGGGAAGAACACCGGUGGCGAAGGCGGCUCACUGGCCCGUAACUGACGCUCAGGCGCGAUAGCGUGGGGAGCAAACAGG
rnacentral:rRNA from 1 species